rnacentral:rRNA from 1 species
UGGGGAAUAUUGCGCAAUGGGCGAAAGCCUGACGCAGCGACGCCGCGUGUGGGAUGACGGCCUUCGGGUUGUAAACCACUGUCGGGAGGGACGAAUGCGCCGCAAGGCGAGUGACGGUACCUCCAAAGGAAGCACCGGCUAACUCCGUGCCAGCAGCCGCGGUAAUACGGAGGGUGCGAGCGUUGUCCGGAAUCACUGGGCGUAAAGGGCGCGUAGGCGGCCUGAUAAGUAGGGGGUGAAAUCCUGCGGCUUAACCGCAGGGCUGCCUUCUAAACUGUCAGGCUAGAGCACGGUAGAGGCAGAUGGAAUUCCCGGUGUAGCGGUGGAAUGCGUAGAGAUCGGGAAGAACAUCAGUGGCGAAGGCGGUCUGCUGGGCCGUUGCUGACGCUGAGGCGCGACAGCGUGGGGAGCAAACAGG